UACAGAGGGGGCAAGCGUUGUUCGGAAUUACUGGGCGUAAAGGGUGCGCAGGCGGGUUUGCAAGACAGAUGUGAAAGCCCCAGGCUUAACCUGGGAACUGCAUUUGUGACUGCAAGUCUAGAGUAUGGCAGAGGGAGGUGGAAUUCCAUGUGUAGCAGUGAAAUGCGUAGAGAUAUGGAGGAACACCGAUGGCGAAGGCAGCCUCCUGGGCCAAUACUGACGCUGAGGCACGAAAGCGUGGGGAGCAAACAGG
rnacentral:rRNA from 1 species